rnacentral:rRNA from 1 species
CGAACGCUGGCGGCGUGCCUAAUACAUGCAAGUUGAGCGCUGAAGGUUGGUACUUGUACCAACUGGAUGAGCAGCGAACGGGUGAGUAACGCGUGGGGAAUCUGCCUUUGAGCGGGGGACAACAUUUGGAAACGAAUGCUAAUACCGCAUAAAAACUUUAAACACAAGUUUUAAGUUUGAAGGAUGCAAUUGCAUCACUCAAAGAUGAUCCCGCGUUGUAUUAGCUAGUUGGUGAGGUAAAGGCUCACCAAGGCGAUGAUACAUAGCCGACCUGAGAGGGUGAUCGGCCACAUUGGGACUGAGACACGGCCCAAACUCCUACGGGAGGCAGCAGUAGGGAAUCUUCGGCAAUGGACGAAAGUCUGACCGAGCAACGCCGCGUGAGUGAAGAAGGUUUUCGGAUCGUAAAACUCUGUUGGUAGAGAAGAACGUUGGUGAGAGUGGAAAGCUCAUCAAGUGACGGUAACUACCCAGAAAGGGACGGCUAACUACGUG